ensembl:lincRNA
AUGUGCGAGGCACAAAGAAGGGUACAGAACCAAGGCACACUCUAUUUGCAGAAUAAAGUACAGAGCAGCACACUUCUCAGCAUCUCUAAAGUCAGGAUGUGUCUACAGAUGAUCUCACCAGCUCUCCAUCCAGGUGGCCUGUGGCUCACACAGCCAGCUACUCACUGCUCUCCUCCCAGCCCGCAUAGUCCCUCUGGCCUGCAUCCUCUCACCAGUGCCCUGGACUCCAAACUGAAGGCUUUUCAACCCAGCCAGAGUGCCACAGGCCAGGGUGGACAACUGCAGCAUGGUUCGGCCCUGUGUCCGGUUACGGGCUCUCAUCUGGACAGAGGACAGUAACAGACUGAGAACAUACUGGGUCAGAGCAAACAGCGCCUCAGGACUUCAAAAGAGUGUCUUAUAAAUAGACAGCAUCUUAAAUUUGAUGAAAUACAAUGAAAAGUUACAGCCCAAAUCUAUAGUUGUGCCCCAGGGUUAAGAAUUACCUACAGGGAGGAGCUACACAGUGUACUUACAGUGCAAAUCAACGUCUUCACCUUCCGUUAGUAAAAGAAAAACUCAAGACAAACACAAGAGUAAUGAUAGGCAGAAACCAAUGAGUUUGAAAUAGAAAAACAAUAUAAAAUCAUUAUAAGCAGGCUCCUUAAAAAAGUAAAUAAAACUAAUACGCCUAAAGAAGAGAGAAUGAGAAAAGCCACCUUAUCAGCAGCAUUGCUGCUGUCUCUUCACUGACAGUAAGGGGUAAACGAGGGCUCAGAAGUCACCCAGACACUAAGGGUGACAAACAAACACCAAAACUACGCUAGCACAUAAGUUUGAUAAUUUUUGUGGAAAUGACCAAUUUUUUAAAAAUCACAACCUACCAAAAAGAAUUCAUUUAAAAAAGUCAAUAAUCUGUCUAGGUUUAUAUGGUAUGUGAUCAGUUAACUGAAUUAAUAACUUAAGACCUUCUAAAGGGCAAAAUCGCAGGUCUAUGCAGCCUGAUUGAUAAAGUCUACCAAACACUUGAUGAAAAAUGGAACACAUCUCAAUUCACUUUGAUAUCAGAAUAAGGAAAAUACAAUAAAGAACCCCUAGGCCGGGGUCUGGCUCGGUGGGAGAGCGCUUAUUAGCAUUGCUAUUACUAUUAUUAGGUGUGAACUCCAGCACCACAGAAAAACAAAAAUAUUAAUGACAUUAAAAAAUAAAACUACAGUCUUUGUAUUAAGCAUGAAAAUGCAUGACAAAAAAGACAUCAAGUCCAGCAAGAUGUAAAAAGUCUUAAUACAGCAUGAGUCAGGGUUGUGAAUGUCAGGACUGCAAAUUGAUUCAGACUUUGAAAGUCAGCCAGGGAAAAAUCCAUGACAUUAACAGAGCAGAAAGAAAGGCAACACUGUUGUGUUAAUCGAUGUAUAACGGGUGUUUGAUAAUUUUUCCACCCAUGCAUGGUAAAAACUGUCAGCAAACUGAUGAAUGCAUCUGCAAAACAAAUAGAAAUGUAAAACAAAGUGAAAGGAGCAAGCCGACCUCAGGUCUCAGCGCUGAGCCUGUACUUCGUGGUGCAGAGAUGAGUGUCUGCUCCCCUCAGCCGAUGAUGUAGGCAACUUUGUCCGUCCCCACAUCUCCUUACCAGUGCUCUUGCUUGGGUGGCACAGUGAGGAGAAGGAAGGAAGACAGGCAGGGCAGAAGAAAGAGCAACUUGCAGGUGACAGAACUGUGCACGUAGCAGACAACAGAGAGCUGGCCAAAAGCUCUUCGAACAAAAAAGGGAAUUCACCAAAUAAUUGGAAACUGAAAAAUUUAAAUGUUAUAUGUAAGAGCUCAGUGUGAAAGUUACAGAUGCAAACAAAGGAACUGAAAGGACUAAAUAAGUUAGGAGAUGGACACGGAUGUCUCAGAUGGAGAACAAAGCUAUGGAAUAAAGAGUCCAGACAGACAGCCACACAAAUAGGCCGACUGAUAUUUGUUUAUAAAGAUUGAAAAGCAAAUCAAAGGAGAAGGAAUAGUUUAUUCAGCAAACAUUGAAACAACUAUACAUCCAUAUCCAAGAGCAGAGGAAGAAAAACCCCAGUGAACCUCAGCUUAUGUCUCAUGUUCCAUAUGACAGUGAGGUGAAAAUGGAGCACAUACUCCUGCGAAACGUGAAGGCGUAAUUCCAGGGAGUAACUGCUUCGUCUUGGGUUGGAGAAGGUUAUCAGGCAUGAUAAAGCACAAUUUGUGAAAGUAGUAUUGAUGAGUGAGGCUUCAGAAAAAUAUUUGUUCAAACGAGAGUCAAAGGAACAAAAAGGUCAGUUAUGACUUGGAAGGAAACACUGGCAAAGCACACAUGUGAGCCAUUAGAACGGAUGAAAGUAGAAACUCUGAUAAUGCCAAGUGUUGUCGAGGAUUUGUGGGAAAUAAAACUCUCACAUUCCCUAUGGGUAGAAAGGUAAAAUAGUUUAAUUAUUUAGGGAGAUGGCCAUUGCUUCAAAAUGUAAACAUCCAAGGGGCUAGGGAUUCAGCUCAGUGGUGCUGCCACCUGCCUCACAAGCACAAGGUCCUGAGUUCAACCCCCAGUACAAAAAAGAAAAACAAAAUCACAAAAUGUAAAUAUUCACCUGCCAUAGUAUCUGUUUCACUCCUAGGCAUUUAUUUCUUUCUAAUUUUUUUAUUCAUUAAAUUUAUUGGUAAAUUUUAGGUAUACAAUAUCUCAACAUCCAUCAUUGGGAAUUUGUACCUUUACAUGAUAUAUCUUGGUUCUCAUUUUUUUCCCCAUAACCCUGCCCUCCCCUCAGCCCCUCCACCCUUCCCUAUUUACAAAGACUUUGUUUCUGUUUUUUCCUUUUCUCAUAUUUAUUUAUUCCUUUCCCUUCUUUCAUUCCCUCAACCUCUCCCCUUCCCCUUCCCCUUCCCCUCUGGAACUUUUCUUCCUAUUUCCCAUUAUCUGUUAUAUAUUUUGAUCCUCAUUUACACUGAGUUUCUCACAGCAGAGAAACUAUUCGCUAUUUACCACAUGCCCUAUUUAUUUCGCUUAAGAGUAUGGCCUCAGUGUGCAUCCAUUUAGCUGUAAAUGUCUCUAGUUUCUUAUUCUUUAUGGCUGAGUAGUGCUCCAUUGUAUAGAAAGACCACAUCUUCUUUAUUCAGUCAACAGUUGAUGGACAUCUGGGCUGUUUCCAAGUUUUAGCUAUGAUGGACUGUCCUGCUAUAAACAUAGGUGCACAUAUAUCACUGUGGUAUGAUUCUUUUAAUUCUUUUGGAAAGACACCCAGCAGGGGAAUAGCAGGCUCAAAUGGGACCUUGAGUCCUAGUUUUUUGAGGAAUCUCCAUACUGAUUUCCACAGUGGUUGCACCAGUCUGCAUUCGUACGUGUGUGAUCCGCAGUGGUGGGAAGCUGUGUGUAUGUGGAUCUCGAUCCUCCUUACCGCCCCUCCCCCAUCUAACCCCCUACAGACCCGUGCCCUCUCCAUCUGUCUCCUGUUUCCUGUCAUCCGUCACUGACCUUGCUCUCCAGAUUAUUUCCACUUUGCGUUUACCUUCUGAGUCUGAUCCAUUCCACUUGGCGUUAUGGUCCCCAGGUGCACCCAGUGUCAUGUGGCUGACUCAAAUUGACUCUUCUUUGUGGCUGUGUAGAAGCCCACGUGCACCACCUUUUCCCGUAUCUAUUCGUCUAGCCAUUGUGAGUCACGCUGCUACAAACACGCGGGCACGUGACACUGUGCUGUCAGCUAGGUCUUUAUUUACAUGGAGGACAAGAACGUUAUGUCUAGCCAAGACUUGAGCACAGAGUUUCACAGCAGGCAAAUUUGUAGUAGCCUAACUUUGGAAACUACCUCAAUGCCCACCGGGUGAGUGCGUGGGCAAACUGGAGGAUGUGCCCAUAUUAAAAGAGAAGGAACCAUUGAUAAAGCAACAAGAAUGACUGUUUUUUUGAGUGAGAGAAGAGUAAAGUGGUAUAGCAGCACAGUUUGUAAUAGCUAAAACUUGGAAACAGCCCAUUUGCCCAUCAGCUGGAAACUGGAUAAAGAAG